rnacentral:rRNA from 1 species
UACGUAGGGUGCGAGCGUUAAUCGGAAUUACUGGGCGUAAAGCGUGCGUAGGUGGUUCGUUGUGUCUGUGGUGAAAGCCCCGGGCUUAACCUGGGAAUGGCCAUGGAAACUGGCGAGCUGGAGUCUGGCAGAGGGGGGUGGAAUUCCGCGUGUAGCAGUGAAAUGCGUAGAGAUGCGGAGGAACACCGAUGGCGAAGGCAGCCCCCUGGGCUAAGACUGACGCUGAGGCACGAAAGCGUGGGGAGCAAACAG